GUAGGUGGCAAGCGUUGUCCGGAAUUAUUGGGCGUAAAGCGCGCGCAGGCGGUUCUUUAAGUCUGAUGUGAAAGCCCACGGCUCAACCGUGGAGGGUCGUUGGAAACUGGAGAACUUGAGUACAGAAGAGGAAAGCGGAAUUCCACGUGUAGCGGUGAAAUGCGUAGAGAUGUGGAGGAACACCAGUGGCGAAGGCGGCUUUCUGGUCUGUAACUGACGCUGAGGCGCGAAAGCGUGGGGAGCAAACAGGGAUUAGAUACCCUGGUAGUCCACGCCGUAAACGAUGAGUGCUAAGUGUUAGGGGGGUUUCCGCCCCCUUAGUGCUGCAGCUAACGCAUUAAGCACUCCGCCUGGGGAUACGGCCGCAAGGCUG
rnacentral:rRNA from 1 species